UACGAAGGGUGCAAGCGUUACUCGGAAUUACUGGGCGUAAAGCGUGCGUAGGCGGUUUGUUAAGUCCGUUGCGAAAGCCCUGGGCUCAACCUGGGAAUUGCAGUGGAUACUGGCGAGCUAGAGUGCGGUAGAGGAUGGUGGAAUUCCCGGUGUAGCGGUGAAAUGCGUAGAGAUCGGGAGGAACACCCGUGGCGAAGGCGGCCAUCUGGACCAGCACUGACGCUGAGGCACGAAAGCGUGGGGAGCAAACAGG
rnacentral:rRNA from 1 species